rnacentral:rRNA from 1 species
UACGUAGGGACCAAGCGUUGUUCGGAUUUACUGGGCGUAAAGGGCGCGUAGGCGGCAAUUCAAGUCAGCUGUGAAAUCUCCGGGCUUAACUCGGAACGGUCAGCUGAUACUGCUUUGCUAGAGUGCAGAAGGGGCAAUCGGAAUUCUUGGUGUAGCGGUGAAAUGCGUAGAUAUCAAGAGGAACACCUGAGGUGAAGACGGGUUGCUGGGCUGACACUGACGCUGAGGCGCGAAAGCUAGGGGAGCAAACAGG